rnacentral:rRNA from 1 species
GUAGCGACUGUUUAACAAAAACACAGGGCUUUGACAACAAAAAUAAAGCCUGACACCUGCUCAGUGCGAGAUUAUUACGCGGGGGCUUAGCGGCCCUCCCCAAAAGGUUUCGUAAACAGCGGCUGUAACCAUGACGGUCCAAAGGUAGCGAAAUUCCUUGUCGGGUAAGUUCCGACGUGCAUGAAUGGUGUCACGACUGCUCAGCUGUCUCUAUAAAAAUCUUGACGAACGAACAUUUCACGUGAAAAUGCGUGUCUAAGCUAGCAAGACGGAAAGACCCCGUGCAUCUUUACCGGAGCGCCGUACAGGGUU